GCAAGACCGUGAGGUGGAGCAAAACUCAAAAACUUGUCUCAGUUCGGAUUGUAGGCUGAAACUCGCCUACAUGAAGCUGGAGUUGCUAGUAAUCGCGAAUCAGAAUGUCGCGGUGAAUACGUUCCCGGGCCUUGUACACACCGCCCGUCACACCAUGAGAGUCGAUAACACCCGAAGCCUGUGAGCUAACCGUAAGGAGGCAGCAGUCGAAGGUGGGGUUGAUGAUUGGGGUGAAGUCGUAACAAGGUAUC
rnacentral:rRNA from 1 species